rnacentral:rRNA from 1 species
AAUCAACGCUGGCGGCGUGCCUCAGACAUGCAAGUCGAACGAUUAAAGCUCUCUUCGGAGAGUGCAUAGAGUGGCGCACGGGUGAGUAACACGUAAGUAAUCUACCUUCGAGUGGGGAAUAACGUCCGGAAACGGACGCUAAUACCGCAUAAUGCAGCGGCAUCGUAAGAUGACAGUUGUUAAAGAUUUAUCGCUUGAAGAGGAGCUUGCGGCAGAUUAGCUAGUUGGUAAGGUAAUGGCUUACCAAGGCUACGAUCUGUAACCGGUCUUAGAGGACGGUCGGUCACACUGACACUGAAUAACGGGUCAGACUCCUACGGGAGGCAGCAGUCGGGAAUUUUGGGCAAUGGGCGAAAGCCUGACCCAGCAACGCCGCGUGUGGGAUGAAGGGGCUACGCCCUGUAAACCACUGUUAGAUGUGAAAAAAGAUGGCUUUGCCGUCCGGGAUUGUAACAUCAAAGAAAGGACCGGCUAACUACGUGCCAGCAGCCGCGGUAAU